UUCAGGGGAAACAACUGGCGCCUUCCUUCGAGAUAAAGGAACGACAGAGACAGAGAGUAACACAGACUCCAUGCCGUACGCUGGGGACGAAAGAACCGAGGCACGGUCACGACGAGAGACGAGGAGCAGGAGGAGGAAGAGUGACGGAUGCUUGCCAGGUGAACACAGUUUCCGCCUUGACCCACGGCUUCCUGCCCGAGUCAUGGCUGAACCCUACCCGACCUUCCCAUCGUGACCGUAAGUCCAGGGGAUUCCUAUUCCCGCCCUGACGUCACCCACCUCUUUUCCUGUGUCCUAGGGAAGUCAUUGAACUCUGUCACAAAGCCUCGUCAUCCAGCUCUUGUUACAAUUGCCGAAGUGCAUUCAAGUCUUUCUCUUCUUUUUUCCCACAGUAUCAUUGAUAUUUCGUUUUUCUCAUCUGUUUUUCAUGACUCCAUAGUGUGCUUCUGUUUUACAUGCUGGGCAGUUUUUGCAUGUUUAUAUCAGCGAAUGUUGAGAAAAUUAGCUUUUAAAAUUUGUUCAGUGAGUGGAUAUGUAUAUCAUUGAUCUGUUCGUGUAUUCAUGACGCAAAAACUGCAUCAAGAUUCACAUGCUCUUUGGUUUCGAUUGCUUCCUCCUUGCAAUGGUGAUGAGUAUUUUUACAUUCUUGCGCUUCCCCUUAAGCAACCUUUCAUCUGCCGUGCUUCAUCUAUCUCAUUCCCUUAUCUUUGGCUUUCCUUGCGCCUCGUCACUUCUCCAUGCCCAUCUAUUUCUCUCCGUGUCCUGUCCUCCCCCUUCCCGCUCCGUCCCUCCUCCUCCUUCCCUCUUCCCUCCACAACAUUCCUUGUGCGUGCAACACAGGGCGCUCUGCCGGAGUCAUUGUCCAAGUAUACGUGGAAACAUCGGAUUUAUCCUCCUUCCCUCUCCAGUUUGGACUCCAGGCUGUAUAUUACGACGGAAAGGGAAUAUUUAUACACAUUACACCAGCCUGACCCUUACUCUUUGGCCGACGGCGAAAUAGGGCGCGGUGAAAGUAAGCUGAGGAGAAAGGUAUAAAGGAAGUGAGCGAAAAGUGGGAGCCUCACGAAGUAGGUCGGUGAUUGGUUGAAGAGGCUAGGCGAGGACGGGCUUUGAUUGGCCAGCUGAGUCUCCAAGGAGGGAAGGAACCCGGGGGAGGGAAUAUUAUUCAAGUGAGGUAUUAAAAAUGUUUCGGAAGGGAGACCGAGGCGGGAAGGAAGGUGCGCAGGGAGGGCAAAAUGUCUUCGUGGUCGUAUGUCAUGUUUCGAUCCGUCAGUCAUCGUGGGAAAAUGUCAGUUUUACUCGCUUUAACAUGCAGGAAGAUAGGAGGAUGAAUAAUAGGCCAUCACAUUUAUACAUAUAAGGAACGUGUGUGUGUGUGUGUGUGUGUGUGUGUGUGUGUG